rnacentral:rRNA from 1 species
UACGUAGGGCGCAAGCGUUGUCCGGAAUUAUUGGGCGUAAAGAGCUCGUAGGCGGUUUGUCGCGUCUGCUGUGAAAACCUAAGGCUCAACCUUGGGCUUGCAGUGGGUACGGGCAGAUUAGAGUGCGGUAGGGGUGACUGGAAUUCCUGGUGUAGCGGUGGAAUGCGCAGAUAUCAGGAGGAACACCGAUGGCGAAGGCAGAUCUCUGGGCCGUAACUGACGCUGAGGAGCGAAAGCAUGGGGAGCGAACAGG